CCUACGGGAGGCAGCAGUGGGGAAUAUUGCACAAUGGGCGCAAGCCUGAUGCAGCCAUGCCGCGUGUGUGAAGAAGGCCUUCGGGUUGUACAGCACUUUCAGCGGGGAGGAAGGCGUUAAGGUUAAUAACCUUGGCGAUUGACGUUACCCGCAGAAGAAGCACCGGCUAACUCCGUGCCAGCAGCCGCGGUAAUACGGAGGGUGCAAGCGUUAAUCGGAAUUACUGGGCGUAAAGCGCACGCAGGCGGUCUGUCAAGUCGGAUGUGAAAUCCCCGGGCUCAACCUGGGAACUGCAUUCGAAACUGGCAGGCUAGAGUCUUGUAGAGGGGGGUAGAAUUCCAGGUGUAGCGGUGAAAUGCGUAGAGAUCUGGAGGAAUACCGGUGGCGAAGGCGGCCCCCUGGACAAAGACUGACGCUCAGGUACGAAAGCGUGGGGAGCAAACAGGAUUAGAUACCCGAGUAGUC
rnacentral:rRNA from 1 species